rnacentral:rRNA from 1 species
AGAGUUUGAUCCUGGCUCACGAAGAACGCUGGCGGUAUGCUUAACACAUGCAAGUCGAACGAACCCUUAGGGGUUAGUGGCGGACGGGUGAGUAACGCGUGAGGAUCUGCCCUUAGGAGGGGAACAACAGUUGGAAACGACUGCUAAUGCCCCAUAUGCCGAGAGGUGAAACAGUUAAUUCUGCCUAGGGAUGAACUCGCGUCUGAUUAGCUAGUUGGUUGGGUAAUGGCCGACCAAGGCGACGAUCAGUAGCUGGUCUAAGAGGAUGAUCAGCCACACUGGGACUGAGACACGGCCCAGACUCCUACGGGAGGCAGCAGUGGGGAAUUUUCCGCAAUGGGCGAAAGCCUGACGGAGCAAUACCGCGUGAGGGAGGAAGGCCUUAGGGUUGUAAACCUCUUUUCUCUGGGAAGAAGAUCUGACGGUACCAGAGGAAUAAGCCUCGGCUAACUCCGUGCCAGCAGCCGCGGUAAGACGGAGGAGGCAAGCGUUAUCCGGAAUUAUUGGGCGUAAAGCGUCCGUAGGCGGUUAAUUAAGUCUGUUGUUAAAGCCCACAGCUCAACUGUGGAUCGGCAAUGGAAACUGGUUGACUAGAGUGUGGUAGGGGUAGAGGGAAUUCCCGGUGUAGCGGUGAUAUGCGUAGAUAUCGGGAAGAACACCAGUGGCGAAGGCGCUCUACUGGGCCACAACUGACGCUGAUGGACGAAAGCUAGGGGAGCGAAAGGGAUUAGAUACCCCUGUAGUCCUAGCUGUAAACGAUGGAUACUAGGUGUUGGACGUAUCGACCCGUGCAGUACCGUAGCUAACGCGUUAAGUAUCCCGCCUGGGGAGUACGCACGCAAGUGUGAAACUCAAAGGAAUUGACGGGGGCCCGCACAAGCGGUGGAGGAUGUGGUUUAAUUCGAUGCAACGCGAAGAACCUUACCAAGGCUUGACAUCCUGCGAAUCUUUCAGAGAUGAGAGAGUGCCUUCGGGAGCGCAGAGACAGGUGGUGCAUGGCUGUCGUCAGCUCGUGUCGUGAGAUGUUGGGUUAAGUCCCGCAACGAGCGCAACCCUCGUCCUUAGUUGCCAUCAUUAAGUUGGGCACUCUGGGGAGACUGCCAGGGACAACUCGGAGGAAGGUGGGGACGACGUCAAGUCAUCAUGCCCCUUACGUCUUGGGCUACACACGUCCUACAAUGCUACAGACAGAGGGCAGCAAGCGCGCGAGUGCAAGCAAAUCCCAUAAACUGUGGCUCAGUUCAGAUUGCAGGCUGCAACUCGCCUGCAUGAAGGCGGAAUCGCUAGUAAUCGCAGGUCAGCAUACUGCGGUGAAUACGUUCCCGGGCCUUGUACACACCGCCCGUCACACCAUGGGAGUUGGCCACGCCCGAAGUCGUUACUCUAACCGUUCGCGGAGGAGGGCGCCGAAGGCAGGGCUGAUGACUGGGGUGAAGUCGUAACAAGGUA